CGGCCUUCCCUGCCCUGACCUGGAACCUCUGGGAGGGCUGCAGAGUAAGUGCCGCCUCUGCGCUCUGACGGAGGCAGGAGGCCUGCGGAAUAGGUCCCUCUGUUCCGACAGGUGCGACACUUAGCGCUCCAUGCCUGCGGGCUCCGGGAGGCAUGGCCUCCCCCAGGGCCGCCACCUCUGCUGGUUGCUCUGUGCUUUCACCUUAAAGCUCUGUCAAGCAGAGGCUCCUGUGCAGGAGGAGAAGCUGUCAGCGAGCACCUCAAAUUUGCCAUGCUGGCUGGUGGAAGAGUUUGUGGUAACAGCAAGAGUGCUCUCCAUGCUCUAAUUUCCAGGCUAAAACUACCCCUGAGUUUGGUCCCACAGGGUAUGUAGAGAAAAUCACAUGCAGCUCAUCUAAGAAAAUUGAGUUCAAAAGCUGCCGCUCAGCUUUGAUGGAACAACACUUAUUUUGGAAGUUCGAAGGGGCUGCUGUGUUUGUGGCCCUGAUCUUCGCUUGUCGUGUCAUCAUUCGUCAGCGACAACUGUACAGAAAGGCUCUGGAAAAGGUCCGGAAGCAAAUUGAGUCCAUAUAGCUACAUUCCACCCUUUUAUCCUGGGUCUUAGAGACCCAGUCUCAGACAGUGAAAGUGAAAUGGACUGAUUUGCACUCUUGGUUCUUUGGAGGCUUGUGGUGGAAUCCCCUUUUCCCCGUCCUCUUCUUUCAGAUCAUUAAUGAGCAGAAUAAAAAGAGUAAAAUGGUU